GAUGAACGCUGGCGGCGUGCCUAAUACAUGCCAGUCGAGCGAACAGACGAGGAGCUUGCUCCUCUGACGUUAGCGGCGGACGGGUGAGUAACACGUGGAUAACCUACCUAUAAGACUGGGAUAACUUCGGGAAGCCGGAGCUAAUACCGGAUAAUAUAUUGAACCGCAUGGUUCAAUAGUGAAAGACGGUUUUGCUGUCACUUAUAGAUAGAUCCGCGCCGCAUUAGCUAGUUGGUAAGGUAACGGCUUACCAAGGCAACGAUGCGUAGCCGACCUGAGAGGGUGAUCGGCCACACUGGAACUGAGACACGGUCCAGACUCCUACGGGAGGCAGCAGUAGGGAAUCUUCCGCAAUGGGCGAAAGCCUGACGGAGCAACGCCGCGUGGGUGAUGAAGGUCUUCGGAUCGUAAAACUCUGUUAUUAGGGAAGAACAAAUGUGUAAGUAACUAUGCACGUCUUGACGGUACCUAAUCAGAAAGCCACGGCUAACUACGUG
rnacentral:rRNA from 1 species